AACGAACGCUGGCGGCAUGCCUAACACAUGCAAGUCGAACGAGAUCUUCGGGUCUAGUGGCGCACGGGUGCGUAACGCGUGGGAAUCUGCCCUUUGGUUCGGAAUAACAGUUGGAAACGACUGCUAAUACCGGAUGAUGACGAAAGUCCAAAGAUUUAUCGGCAGAGGAUGAGCCCGCGUAGGAUUAGCUAGUUGGUGUGGUAAAGGCGCAACAAGGCGACGAUCCUUAGCUGGUCUGAGAGGAUGAUCAGCAACACUGGGACUGAGACACGGACCAGACUCCUACGGGAGGCAGCAGUGGGGAAGAUUGGACAAUGGGCGCAAGCCUGAUCCAGCAAUGCCGCGUGAGUGAUGAAGGCCUUAGGGUUGUAAAGCUCUUUUACCCGGGAUGAUAAUGACAGUACCGGGAGAAUAAGCUCCGGCUAACUCCGUGCCAGCCGCCGCAGUAAUAC
rnacentral:rRNA from 1 species